UUGGUGCAUUUUGUCCAUUUACACUUAAGGUAAUUAUUGAUAGGUAAGUGCUUAUUGCCAUUUUAUUGUGUGUGUUUUUUUUUGUAAUUCCUCUGUUCCUUUCUUACUCUGUAAUGUUCUUCUGUGAUUUGAUGGUUUUCUUUAGUGUUAUUCUUGGAUUACUUAAUUUUUUGUGUAUCUGUUAUAGGCUUUAAGUUUGUAGUUUCCAUAGGGUCCAUAGUUUCCUAAAUAUAUAAAAGUCUAUAUUAACUUGAUAGCUGCUCAAUUUCAAACAGAGUCAAAAAGUAUGGAUUUUUAAUUUUCUUUUUCCUCCAUACUUUAUGUAUGUCAUAAUCUACAUCUUUUGUGUACCCCUUGACUAAUUUUGGGCAUUGUUGAUCUUACUAUAUUUUUAACUUCAUACUUGGUUAGUAAAUAAUUGGUCUACCUUUACUGUAGGUUUAUUUUCAGUGAUGAAAAAUAUUUAAGCUUAAGAACAUUUCAGUCUACAGAGGACCCUUUAACAUAACCUGUAAGGCUUAUUUAGUGGUGGCAAGUUCUUUUAAAUUUCAUUUAUCUGGGAAAAUUUUAAUCUCCCCUUCAAUUCUGAAUGGUAAACUUGCUAGGUAGAGAAUUCCUGGUUGUAGGUUCUUCCCUUUAAUAUAUUAAGUAUUUCAUUCCACCCCCUUCUGGCCUGUGAAGUUUCUGCUGAGAAAUCUGCUAAUAACCAUGUGAACUUUCCCUUAUAGGGGUUUUCUGUGCUUCCAGGACCUGGAUGUCUAUUCCCUAGAUUGGGGAGAUUUUCAGAUAUUACUACUUCACAAACAACUAUUUAACUUAGAGUUUGCUCCACAAGAACUUAAUAGAAAUGCCAAGAAAUGCAAUAAAGAAGAAAAGGCUGAAACGAUAAAGACUAAAAAGGUAACCAAGUCCAUGGCAGGUGUAAUUAAGUCUAUGGAUGCUACACUGAGGAGUAUGAACCUUGAAAAGAUUCUGCCCUGGUGGACAAAUUUGAAACACUGUAUGUUCAAAUACAACAAAUGGAAGACACAAUGAGUACCACUACAACCCUAACACCAUCACAAAUCCAGGUGGAUAUGCUGCUUCAAGAAAUGGCAGAUAAGCAGGGAUCUUCUAGAAGAACACUGCUAUCAUCAGGUCAUUAAGUCUAAAGCCCACUUUAAGUCAUACAAACUGAGCAGUAUGUGCAAAAUGUCUUAAGGGGUUGAAAAGAUGACAUUAUUGAAGAUGGUCAUUUGUUUUAUAAAGGCUGGAGGCACCAGGGGAAGGGGUGAGCCUGCUGGACAAGCUCAGGCCUCACCAAACAAAGUGAAGAGACCAACAGGUUCCGGUCUGACAACAUUCCAGAAACUGAUCAGAUAACAUUCCUAAUAGAGCCCUCCCCAGGCUAGAAGAAUAGUGGUAACUGUCCAAUACCUGGCUUAAAGCCAAUGAGAAACCCCCUCAUACCCUAGGCGAGCCAAUCCUCAUGUCACUGUAUACCUUUGCUCUCCCUCCCCCUUCCUUCUUUAAAAACUUGCUGCCUGUCCUGCUGGGUGUGACUUCCCCAGCCUCCAUUUCUGUAGACUGGGAAACCUCACCCAGGAACUGCACUCAAAUAAACUACCUGGCCCUUUGUUGCCUCUGGUUGCCUGCUUAUUUUAGCUAGAAUUUAUCUUACAUUUGGUGCCAAAAUCCCGGGAAAGAGCAUGAGCAUAGGGCCCUGACCGGCCACCGGUGGCCCUGCCCCCUCCUUCCCCGACCCAGGACCUCAGCCUUCUCUCCGCUGCGUGGACUA